rnacentral:rRNA from 1 species
GACGAACGCUGGCGGCGUGCUUAACACAUGCAAGUCGAACGGAAAGGCCCUGCUUUUGUGGGGUGCUCGAGUGGCGAACGGGUGAGUAACACGUGAGUAACCUGCCCUUGACUUUGGGAUAACUUCAGGAAAAUGGGGCUAAUAUCGGAUAGGAGCUCCUGCUGCAUGGUGGGGGUUGGAAAGUUUCGGCGGUUGGGGAUGGACUCGCGGCUUAUCAGCUUGUUGGUGGGGUAGUGGCUUCCCAAGGUUUUGACGGGUAGCCGGCCUGAGAGGGUGACCGGCCACAUUGGGACUGAGGUACGGCCCAGACGCCUACGGGAGGCAGCAGUGGGGAAUAUUGCACAAUGGGCGGAAGCCUGAUGCAGCAACGCCGCGUGCGGGAUGACGGCCUUCGGGUUGUAAACCGCUUUCGCCUGUGACGAAGCGUGAGUGACGGUAAUGGGUAAAGAAGCACCGGCUAACUACGUG